rnacentral:lncRNA from 1 species
UUUAACUUUUUCAUUAAAAAAACAAACAACAAGAAAGAACAUAGGGAAAUUAAAAGAAAUAAUGGCUAAUAUCAAGAUGACAACUAUACUUUUCAUUGCCAUAAUUUUCACUAUCUUUGCUUCAAGCAAAUUUGCAUGGGCACAUGAGGAAAUACAUCCCCAUGUUCAACCCCACCCCCACCCCCACCCCCAACCUCACCCCCACCCCCACCCCCAACCUCACCCUCACCCUCACCCCAACACCCACGUCCAACCCCAACCUCACCCCCAACCUCAACCCCACCCCCACCCACAACCCCAGGGUUCUGAAGGGCCAGUAUAUGAAUAUGCAGGACAGAGGUUAAAAAUAGAACCAGGACAUGAAUUAUGUUAUCAAAAAUGUUAUCAAGGUAUUUUUGCUGGUGAAGGUAGUCCAUUAUAUGCAGAAAAAGAAUGCUACGAUAUGUGCCAUAACAAUGGUAAAUUUGUAUUUCCAAACUUUAGUCCUCCACCUUGCGCGAACAAGGUUUAAUUUCAAUUAACGUAUCAGAAAUAAGUACUCCCUCGAUCUGUUGUUCCAAUUUAUAUGGCGAUAUUACUAUUUAGGGAGUCAAAAAAAGACGUCCGUCUUCAACCAAGCUUUAUGGAGGCACGUAAAUAUUUUUAAUUCCAUGCCAUAUCAAUUAGCCAACAAAGAUUCUUUUUAUAAUCAGGGUGUUCAUGACAUUUAUAAUCAACUAUGUAUUUAUUUUUUUACGUUGGUGAUCAUUUGUAAUUGUAACAUGUAUAUGAAAUGAAACAUAACAUGACAUGGAUGCCAUCAAUUUACUGAUUAAUUGUCUUAUAUUAAUUUUUU